UAGCCUAGUGGUUAAGGCUAUGGAUCCCCAUUCCGGAGACGGCGGGUUCGAUUCCCGU
rnacentral:tRNA from 1 species